UACUGAAUUAACCUUAACAUUUAGAAGUGAGAAUUGGGGGAGAACGAACUUUUCCAUUAUCUAACAUAGACGGUUCACUUGCAUGCCCCAGUUGCCCAUCUCCUCCGGACACCUCUGCAAAAAUCUCCGUUGAAGAUGCACAGAAUGCCACUGCUUCAGUAUACAGACCAUUCGUUUCUCGCUGUUACCUUCUCCAAGUUUUGGUCAUUGGAAGAGGCUAAAAUAUUAUUGAAUGAGAUGGUUGACUGGAAGAUUGGUCCAGAUGUAUAUACCUUUCAAUAUUUAUGGAUGUACUUUGCAAAGAAGGGAUGGUAAAAGAUGCCGAGUAUGUAGUAGAAUUCAUGAUUCAAAGAGGUGAGGAUCUUAAUGUAGUCACCUAUAGUGCACUCAUUUGUGGAUAUUGUUUGCAAGGCCAAAUGGAUGAAGCAAUAAACACCUUAAAUGUCAUGUUGUCCAGAGGCUGUGUGCCCAACAUUUGGAGCUAUCACAUUCUAAUCAAUGGAUAUUGCAAGAAGGGGAUGAUAGACGAGGCCUUGCAUAUCUUUUGUGAAAUUCCUGGUAAAGGAUUGAAACCCUCAGAAGUGCUGUUGCCCUAGGGCUUUUUUACGAAAUGCAAGCUAGGGGACAAAAUCCUGAUUAGUGCAAUUGGUCCAUAUUGUUGGAUGGUUUGUUCAAGGACCAGUAUACUGCUGAGGCAUUGUCAUUGUAUCAUGUUAUGUAGAGUAAUACUUUUUUUUUUAUCCCUAUCUUACUUUUUGCAGUAUCCUCCUUGAUGGGCUGUGCAAAGGUAGGAAGCUUGAUAUUGAAAGGGAUAUUUUCAAUAACCUUUUUUCUAAGGGGCUACAACCCAAUGUUAAGACUGAAGACAUAUAAUAUAAUGGUAAAUGGACUCUGUUACUAAGGGCUAUUGGACGAUGCAAAAAAGUUGAUCCUGGAAAUGGGAAAAAUGGUUGCUUGCCUAAUAUGUCACCUAUGAUAUUCUUGUUCAGGGAUUCCUUAGAAGAACAAGUGUUUCCAGGCAAUGGUACUUUUGGAGGAAAUGCAAGAAAGGAGUUUCUCUCUCGAUUCAUCUACUUUUUCCAUGUUAGUUGAUGUAUUCCCAGGGGAAUGGCAAGAUCCUACCCUCCUUAAUAUGAUGCAAAAGUUCGUUGCAAAGGAUAAGCAAUCCAACUUAAAGACUCCAUUUGAAAAUGCAUGUUGUUGCUUGUGGCAAUCUGUUGGGAUCACUGGAGAGAUCUUCUACAAUAAGGUCUAGCAGCGUCUUCAUUCACUCUAUGCAAGUAUCUUCUGAUUAUGGGGUGAAUCUUCCUUUGUUUACCAUUAUCCAUCUAGAGUGCUGCAAAGGGUCGUCCAAGUUCAAUUUUGGUCACAUUAUACACGAGCGUUGCAGGUGCUUGAUCUGAAACUUGGCUUCUUGUACCAGCUGAUUGUUCCUUUAUGUGCAAUGAACCUUUCCCUUGAGGUUUUCAAUAGGUGUAUAUAUAUGUUUUUAGUGCAAGUUGAUGUGAGAAAUCCUCAAUUAUACCUGUAGUAAAAUUCUGAAGUGGCCUAUUGAAUAUAAGACAUUGUUGGACUCUUUAAAUUCUGUUUUGCCUCAACUAAAGGACGAUUUAUGUAUGCAACUGCGGUAUUCUCCUUGAACCACAUUUCUAGCUCGAUCACUGACGUCCACAAAGCUUGCCAUUUGUUUUAUAUCUGUAACUGUAAGUUAUUGUUAUGUGAAAUGGUAAUUUGAAUAUAGUCCACUGGAAAA